rnacentral:rRNA from 1 species
ACGGGUGAGUAACACGUGAAUCAUCUACCUUCGAGUGGGGAAUAACUGAGAGAAAUCUUAGCUAAUACCGCAUAAUACCUACGGGUCAAAGCAGCAAUGCGCUUGAAGAGGAGUUCGCGGCAGAUUAGUUAGUUGGCGGGGUAAUGGCCCACCAAGACGAUGAUCUGUAUCCGGCCUGAGAGGGCGCACGGACACACUGGAACUGAAACACGGUCCAGACUCCUACGGGAGGCAGCAGUGGGGAAUUUUGCGCAAUGGGGGAAACCCUGACGCAGCAACGCCGCGUGGAGGAUGAAAUCCCUUGGGAUGUAAACUCCUUUCGAUAGGGAAGAUUAUGACGGUACCUAUAGAAGAAGCCCCGGCUAACUUCGUGCCAGCAGCCGCGG